UGGGGAAUUGUUCACAAUGGGCGCAAGCCUGAUGACGCAACGCCGCGUGGAGGAUGAAGACCUUCGGGUCGUAAACUCCUUUCGACCGAGAUGAAGACCGAUCGACCUAAUACGCCGAUCGAUUGACAGUAUCGAGGGAAGAAGCCCCGGCUAACUCCGUGCCAGCAGCCGCGGUAAUACGGGGGGGGCAAGCGUUGUUCGGAAUUACUGGGCGUAAAGGGUUCGUAGGUGGCUCGCUAAGUCAGACGUGAAAUCCCUCAGCUUAACCGAGGAACUGCGUCUGAGACUGGCAAGCUUGAGGGUAGGAGAGGAACGCAGAAUUCCAGGUGUAGCGGUGAAAUGCGUAGAUAUCUGGAGGAAUACCGGUGGCGAAGGCGGCGUUCUGGACUACAUCUGACACUGAGGAACGAAAGCCAGGGGAGCAAACGGGAUUAGAUACCCCCGUAGUCC
rnacentral:rRNA from 1 species